UCUGUUUGUGUCCAAAAAAUCAGCACCAAAUUUACACCCAAAAAAACGGUGAGAUGAGAUGAACUGACUCGCCAAUGAACUGCCAAGUAGAAACACUUUGUUUGAUGCCGGAUAAACAGCCCUUGUUUAAACUGUCAGCCCUGACUUUAAAAGUGGCACACACCUAACUGGUUGCUCUUCCAAGACAAAAUUGUAGGCCAGCCUGAAUGACUGGCAGUAAUAAAAAGAUCGCUGCUUCCUGCAAGGAUUGACCUCAGUGCCAAUGCCUGUUCAACCACUAUGUGGAACCCAAAAUGUCUUUUGUGUAGUCCAGUGUGACCUUGGACAUCCAAGUUCAUCCAAACUGUUCAAUGUGGUAAUAGUCGCUGUGAGGAUAUAUGCUACUUUGUA